UCUUGGGGGUCAGAAGCAAGAAUCAUGGGAGAGAGGAAGAAGGAUCAUUAGGAACAGGAAGAGGAAGUAUGGAGACAGGAGGAUAAAUCAUGGGGGGAAACGGACAGGAAGAAGAGGAAUAUAAGUCAGGAAGGGGAAUUGUGAGGAAGCAGGAAGAAAAUGCACGGAGGAGAGGAAGAUGAAACAGGAAGAGAAAAGAAGGAUCAAGAAGGCAUUUCUGGCGGUAAUGGUCGCAUGUGGAACAAUCGCGGGAUGCAGGUGGUCGCAGCGAGCCUCUGUCUGCCUCUCCGAUUUCGGCUCAUCACGGAGGAACAGCUGCAUGCUCACGUUCACAGCCCCCACCUCCCUGUCUGAUGAGCCAGCCCAUCCCCUGGGACUCCUCUGACUGGCAGCUGGAAAUUAACGACAUGUAGACUUGAGGAAAACAAACACGCAUGCAUUUGCAUACAAUCAGCGGCAUUUUUCCCGCUCAUGGACUACUUCAUCAAGUGGAGUUUUCUUCCCCCCUGGUUUUUCUCCCGGCUCCCUCUGGGAAUGGUAAUUGGCUGCAGCUGAGAUUGGGGUCACCUUCAGGAGGGGGGUCACAUGGGCGGACAGGGCAGGGGGAUUCGGGAGCCCCACGGAGUGGUGAAGGGUUUUGGAAGUGUGAUGAUCUGUGGCUCGCCAUAUUGGCCCUUUCUCUCACUAAGGUGGCUUUUAGUGGCAGCCUCAUCUUUUACAGGCCAUGCUUGCUUCUUUACCGUCAGAACAUAGGUCUCCGUUUUCUGCGUAUUUGCAGAACGUGGGGUCAUGAUCCCGGAAGCAUGCAGCACUUACAGUACACAGCUAAUACAGGAGAAGAAACAGGUAUCCAAGUUUUUCUUUAAUAUGACAACGUCUGCUCCGUCUGGACCUGGCUAGAGAUUCUGUGCCUUGUGUGGAAUUAAUUGCUGCCCGUCAGGCUGGUUAGGGCACUGAUUACUCAAUGACACGGAUUGAUGGGAAUGGAUGCCAUUCGAAGUCUGUUUAUCUAGAAUCUAAAGGAGCGUGGAGAUGGUCGUAGGCUACAUGAAGCUUAUUUUGUCAGAUCUUGUUUUGUUCAUUUUUUUUCUAUUUCUUAUUACUGUUAUUUAUUUAUUUAUUU